CUGGAACUCACUUUGUAGACCAGGCUGGCCUCAAACUCACAGAGAUCUGCCUACAUAUGCCUCCCGAGAUUUAGAAU
rnacentral:miRNA from 1 species